rnacentral:rRNA from 1 species
UAGGGAAUCUUCCGCAAUGGACGAAAGUCUGACGGAGCAACGCCGCGUGAGUGAUGAAGGUUUUCGGAUCGUAAAACUCUGUUGUUAGGGAAGAACAAGUACCGUUCGAAUAGGGCGGUACCUUGACGGUACCUAACCAGAAAGCCACGGCUAACUACGUGCCAGCAGCCGCGGUAAUACGUAGGUGGCAAGCGUUGUCCGGAAUUAUUGGGCGUAAAGCGCGCGCAGGCGGUUUCUUAAGUCUGAUGUGAAAGCCCCCGGCUCAACCGGGGAGGGUCAUUGGAAACUGGGGAACUUGAGUGCAGAAGAGGAGAGUGGAAUUCCACGUGUAGCGGUGAAAUGCGUAGAGAUGUGGAGGAACACCAGUGGCGAAGGCGACUCUCUGGUCUGUAACUGACGCUGAGGCGCGAAAGCGUGGGGAGCGAACAG